UAGGGAAUAUUGCACAAUGGGCGCAAGCCUGAUGCAGCAACGCCGCGUGAGGGAUGACGGCCUUCGGGUUGUAAACCUCUUUUAGCAGGGAAGAAGCGAAAGUGACGGUACCUGCAGAAAAAGCACCGGCUAACUACGUGCCAGCAGCCGCGGUAAUACGUAGGGUGCAAGCGUUGUCCGGAAUUAUUGGGCGUAAAGAGCUCGUAGGCGGUCUGUCGCGUCUGCUGUGAAAUCCCGAGGCUCAACCUCGGGCCUGCAGUGGGUACGGGCAGACUAGAGUGCGGUAGGGGAGAAUGGAACUCCUGGUGUAGCGGUGGAAUGCGCAGAUAUCAGGAAGAACACCGAUGGCGAAGGCAGUUCUCUGGGCCGUAACUGACGCUGAGGAGCGAAAGCGUGGGGAGCGAACAGGAUUAGAUACCCUGGUAGUCCACGCCGUAAACGUUGGGCGCUAGAUGUGGGGACCAUUCCACGGUUUCCGUGUCGCAGCUAACGCAUUAAGCGCCCCGCCUGGGGAGUACGGCCGCAAGGCU
rnacentral:rRNA from 1 species